UACGUAGGGUGCGAGCGUUAAUCGGAAUUACUGGGCGUAAAGCGUGCGUAGGUGGUGCGUUAAGUCUGUCGUGAAAGCCCCGGGCUCAACCUGGGAAUGGCGAUGGAUACUGGCGCGCUAGAGUGCGGUAGAGGAGAGUGGAAUUCCCGGUGUAGCAGUGAAAUGCGUAGAGAUCGGGAGGAACAUCAGUUGCGAAGGCGGCUCUCUGGACCAGCACUGACACUGAGGCACGAAAGCGUGGGGAGCAAACAGG
rnacentral:rRNA from 1 species